AUUGAACGCUGGCGGCAUGCUUUACACAUGCAAGUCGAACGGCAGCGCGGGCUUCGGCCUGGCGGCGAGUGGCGAACGGGUGAGUAAUGCAUCGGAACGUGCCCAGUUGUGGGGGAUAGCCCGGCGAAAGCCGGAUUAAUACCGCAUACGACCUGAGGGUGCAAGCGGGGACCCGAAAGGCCUCUGCCGUUUGAGGCGCCGAUGUCGGAUUAGCUCGUUGGUGGGGUAAAGGCCUACCAAGGCGACGAUCCGUAGCUGGUCUGAGAGGACGGCCCGCCACACUGGGACUGAGCCACGGCCCAGACUCCUACGGGAGGCAGCAGUGGGGAAUUUGGGACAAUGGGGGCGACCCUGAUCCAGGCAUGGCGCGUGCGGGCAGAAAGCGUUCGGGUUGUAAACAGGUUUUGUUCGGGAAGAAACCCUCUGGGCUAAUACGCCGGGGGGAUGACGGUACCGGAAAAAUAAGCACCGGCUAACUACGUG
rnacentral:rRNA from 1 species